GAUGAACGCUGGCGGCGUGCCUAAUACAUGCAAGUCGAGCGAACGGACGAGAAUUUUGUUUCUCAGAUGUUAGCGGCGAACGGGUGAGUAACGCGUGGAUAACCUACCUAUAAGACUGGGCUAACUUCGAGAAACGGGAGCUAAUACCGAAUUAUAUUUUGAACCGCAUGGUUCAAAAGGGAAUGACGGACGUGCUGUUACUUAUAGAUGGAGCGGCGCUGCAUUAGCUGGUUGGUAAGGGAACGGCUUACGAAGGCAACGAUGCAUAGGCGACGCGAGAGUGUGAGCGGCGACACUCGAACUGGGACACGGUCACGGCCCCUACGCGAAGGAGCAGUAGGGAAUCUGACGCAAUGGGCGAGAGCGUGACGGAGCAGCACCGAGUGAGUGAUGAAGGUCUUGGGCUCGGAAAUCUAUGUUAUUAGCGAAGAACAUAUGUGUAAGUAACUGUGCAGAUCGUGACGGUACUUGAUCAGAAAGCCACGGCUAACUACGUG
rnacentral:rRNA from 1 species